rnacentral:rRNA from 1 species
UACGUAGGAUCCAAGCGUUGUCCGGAUUCACUGGGCGUAAAGGGUGCGUAGGCGGUCGGGUAAGUCUGAUGUGAAAUCUCACAGCUUAACUGUGAAACUGCAUUGGAUACUAUCCGGCUCGAGGAAUGGAGGGGAGACUGGAAUACUUGGUGUAGCAGUGAAAUGCGUAGAUAUCAAGUGGAACACCAGUGGCGAAGGCGAGUCUCUGGACAUUUCCUGACGCUGAGGCACGAAAGCCAGGGGAGCAAACGGG